GGCUGCCCGUUCUUAAGAGCAGUCUGGCCUGCCCACUGAAUCUAUUUAAAGGGCCGCGGUAUCCUGACCGUGCGAAGGUAGCAUAAUAAUUAGUCUUUUAAUUGAAGACCGGAAUGAAGGGUCGGACAAAAAGCAACCUGUCUUAAUUAAAACUCUCUAAUUUAACUUUUAAGUGAAAAGGCUUAAAUACCCUCGUAGGACGACAAGACCCUAUAAAACUUCAUACACCUAUCUUAACCUUCGAUUUAUCUGUGAAAAGUUGGGUACGUAAAAUGUAUUCCGUUGGGGCGACGAAAGUAUAAUUUGUAACUGCUUUUAUUUAAAACACUCAUCAAUGAAAUUUUUGAUCCUUUUUCAAGAUUAAAAGAAAAAGUUACUUUAGGGAUAACAGCGUAAUUUUUUUUGAGAGUCCUUAUCGACAAAAAAGCUUGCGACCUCGAUGUUGAAUUAAAAUAACCUAAUGGUGCAGUAGCCUCUGAGGUAGGUCUGUUCGACCUUUAAAAUUUUACAUGAUUUGAGUUCAAACCGGCGCGAG
rnacentral:rRNA from 1 species